GACGAACCGUGCGAACGUUAUUCGGAAUCACUGGGCUUAAAGCGCGUGUAGGCGGGAAGGCACGUCGGUCGCUGAAAGCCCCCGGCUCAACCGGGGAAGUGCCUUGGAUACUGGGCAGCUCGAGGGAGGUAGGGGUCGAGGGAACUUCUGGUGGAGCGGUGAAAUGCGUUGAUAUCAGAAGGAACGCCGGUGGCGAAAGCGCUCGACUGGACCUCUGCUGACGCUGAGGCGCGAAAGCCAGGGGAGCAAACGGG
rnacentral:rRNA from 1 species